CCACCGAGCGCCGCGCAUGCGCACGGGGAGCGGCGGUCCCCUGAGGCCACGGGGGCGGCGGCGAGCGGGGAACGCUGUCGCCCCUGUGGAACUGCAGGUACUGCAUCUCCUCACACAAGGACAGCAGCAGCAAAGGUCUUUGCCACCAUCUCUGAUGUGUAGGAAGAACUCCUUUUUUCCUGCUUUUUCAUCCUGCAGAGGGGGUUCAGAGAAGCACAGCAAGACACCAUAAAGGGGCUGGACACCACCUUUGGCUGUCGUGCUAAGAGCAGCAAGCUCUGCUGUCCUUCCCAGGAUGAUUCCAUGCAUUCCCCUGCUGAGCUCAGAGCUGGCUAGCACAACACUGCCAGCCUUUGGCCAGUUUUCCAGCCAGCACUAACAAAACACCCCAGAUAUCACCCCCAAAUUUUCAAGAAGCACUGACUGAGGUGUGUAAAGGGUCUUUCCCCAGCAGAGAGGUCAAUGGGUCACUGCAGCCACAGAGGGGUUUUGUCCCCACCCCAGCACAGGCCUGACAAGUUGGACCUUCUAAUCACUGGAAAGAGAAGAAUCCAAUUGUUUGAAAUUGUUCUAAUUCUUCUCAUUGUUUGAAAAAGAAAGUGGCGGAUUUUUUUUAUGCUUCUUAAAUUGUUUCCUUUAAUAGGAAGUGCUGCUUUACUCUACCGUGUGCUUCCAAAACAAACGUUUGUCUUCCAAAAAUAUACAGUGUACACAUACUCUGUA